AGCGAACGCUGGCGGCAGGCCUAACACAUGCAAGUCGAACGGACCCUUCGGGGUUAGUGGCGGACGGGUGAGUAACACGUGGGAACGUGCCCUUUGGUUCGGAAUAGCUCCUGGAAACGGGUGGUAAUGCCCAAUGUGCCCGUUGGGGGAAAGAUUUAUCGCCAUUGGAGCGGCCCGCGUCUGAUUAGCUAGUUGGUGAGGUAAAGGCUCACCAAGGCGACGAUCAGUAGCUGGUCUGAGAGGAUGAUCAGCCACAUUGGGACUGAGACACGGCCCAAACUCCUACGGGAGGCAGCAGUGGGGAAUCUUGCGCAAUGGGCGAAAGCCUGACGCAGCCAUGCCGCGCGAAUGAUGAAGGUCUUAGGAUUGUAAAAUUCUUUCACCGGGGACGAUAAUGACGGUACCCGGAGAAGAAGCCCCGGCUAACUUCGUGCCAGCCGCCGCCGUAACAC
rnacentral:rRNA from 1 species